rnacentral:rRNA from 1 species
AGUGAACGCUGGCGGUAGGCCUAACACAUGCCAGUCGAACGGCAGCACAGUAAGAGCUUGCUCUUACGGGUGGCGAGUGGCGGACGGGUGAGGAAUACAUCGGAAUCUACUUUUUCGUGGGGGAUAACGUAGGGAAACUUACGCUAAUACCGCAUACGACCUACGGGUGAAAGCAGGGGAUCUUCGGACCUUGCGCGAUUGAAUGAGCCGAUGUCGGAUUAGCUAGUUGGCGGGGUAAAGGCCCACCAAGGCGACGAUCCGUAGCUGGUCUGAGAGGAUGAUCGGCCACACUGGAACUGAGACACGGUCCAGACUCCUACGGGAGGCAGCAGUGGGGAAUAUUGGACAAUGGGCGCAAGCCUGAUCCAGCCAUACCGCGUGGGUGAAGAAGGCCUUCGGGUUGUAAAGCCCUUUUGUUGGGAAAGAAAAGCAGCAGGUUAAUACCCCGCUGUUCUGACGGUACCCAAAGAAUAAGCACCGGCUAACUUCGUG